rnacentral:rRNA from 1 species
UAACACGAAGUGAGUGGCGAACGGGUGAGUAACACGUGGGUAACCUGCCCAGAAGUAGGGGAUAACACCUGGAAACAGAUGCUAAUACCGUAUAACAGAGAAAACCGCAUGGUUUUCUUUUAAAAGAUGGCUCUGCUAUCACUUCUGGAUGGACCCGCGGCGUAUUAGCUAGUUGGUGAGGUAAAGGCUCACCAAGGCAGUGAUACGUAGCCGACCUGAGAGGGUAAUCGGCCACAUUGGGACUGAGACACGGCCCAGACUCCUACGGGAGGCAGCAGUAGGGAAUCUUCCACAAUGGACGCAAGUCUGAUGGAGCAACGCCGCGUGAGUGAAGAAGGGUUUCGGCUCGUAAAGCUCUGUUGUUAAAGAAGAACGUGGGUAAGAGUAACUGUUUACCCAGUGACGGUAUUUAACCAGAAAGCCACGGCUAACUACGUGCCAGCAGCCGCGGUAAUACGUAGGUGGCAAGCGUUAUCCGGAUUUAUUGGGCGUAAAGCGAGCGCAGGCGGUCUUUUAAGUCUAAUGUGAAAGCCUUCGGCUCAACCGAAGAAGUGCAUUGGAAACUGGGAGACUUGAGUGCAGAAGAGGACAGUGGAACUCCAUGUGUAGCGGUGAAAUGCGUAGAUAUAUGGAAGAACACCAGUGGCGAAGGCGGCUGUCUGGUCUGCAACUGACGCUGAGGCUCGAAAGCAUGGGUAGCGAACAGGAUUAGAUACCCUGGUAGUCCAUGCCGUAAACGAUGAUUACUAAGUGUUGGAGGGUUUCCGCCCUUCAGUGCUGCAGCUAACGCAUUAAGUAAUCCGCCUGGGGAGUACGACCGCAAGGUUGAAACUCAAAAGAAUUGACGGGGGCCCGCACAAGCGGUGGAGCAUGUGGUUUAAUUCGAAGCUACGCGAAGAACCUUACCAGGUCUUGACAUCUUCUGACAGUCUAAGAGAUUAGAGGUUCCCUUCGGGGACAGAAUGACAGGUGGUGCAUGGUUGUCGUCAGCUCGUGUCGUGAGAUGUUGGGUUAAGUCCCGCAACGAGCGCAACCCUUAUUACUAGUUGCCAGCAUUAAGUUGGGCACUCUAGUGAGACUGCCGGUGACAAACCGGAGGAAGGUGGGGACGACGUCAAAUCAUCAUGCCCCUUAUGACCUGGGCUACACACGUGCUACAAUGGAUGGUACAACGAGUCGCGAGACCGCGAGGUUAAGCUAAUCUCUUAAAACCAUUCUCAGUUCGGACUGUAGGCUGCAACUCGCCUACACGAAGUCGGAAUCGCUAGUAAUCGCGGAUCAGCAUGCCGCGGUGAAUACGUUCCCGGGCCUUGUACACACCGCCCGUCACACCAUGAGAGUUUGUAACACCCAAAGC